rnacentral:rRNA from 1 species
GACGAACGCUGGCGGCGUGCUUAACACAUGCAAGUCGAGCGGUAAGGCCCUUUCGGGGGUACACGAGCGGCGAACGGGUGAGUAACACGUGGGUGACCUGCCCUCAGCUCUGGGAUAAGCCUGGGAAACCGGGUCUAAUACUGGAUAUGACUCCAUGACGCAUGUUGUGGGGUGGAAAGCCUUGUGCGGCUGAGGAUGGGCCCGCGGCCUAUCAGCUUGUUGGUGGGGUNANGGCCUACCAAGGCGACGACGGGUAGCCGGCCUGAGAGGGCGACCGGCCACACUGGGACUGAGACACGGCCCAGACUCCUACGGGAGGCAGCAGUGGGGAAUCUUGCGCAAUGGGCGAAAGCCUGACGCAGCGACGCCGCGUGGAGG